rnacentral:rRNA from 1 species
UACGUAGGGUGCAAGCGUUGUCCGGAAUUAUUGGGCGUAAAGAGCUCGCAGGCGGCUUGUCGCGUCGGCUGUGAAAACCUGGGGCUCAACUCCGGGCCUGCAGCCGAUACGGGCAAGCUAGAAUUCGGUAGGGGAGACUGGGAUUCCUGGUGUAGCGGUGAAAUGCGCAGAUAUCAGGAGGAACACCGGUGGCGAAGGCGGGUCUCUGGGCCGAUAUUGACGCUGAGGAGCGAAAGCGUGGGGAGCGAACAGG